rnacentral:rRNA from 1 species
AAUCAACGCUGGCGGCGUGCCUAACACAUGCAAGUCGAGCGCGAAAGGGGGAGCAAUCCCCAAGUAGAGCGGCGAACGGGUGAGUAACGCGUGGGCAAUCUGCCUCCGAGUAGGGAACAACAUCGGGAAACUGGUGCUAAUACCGCAUAACAUCGUCGGGUUUUCGGAUCUGACGAUCAAAGCCGGGGACCGCAAGGCCUGGCGCUUGGAGAGGAGCCCGCGUCCGAUUAGCAGUUGGUGGGGUAAUGGCCCACCAAGGCUUCGAUCGGUAGCCGGCCUGAGAGGGCGGACGGCCACACUGGGACUGAGACACGGCCCAGACUCCUACGGGAGGCAGCAGUGGGGAAUUUUCGCAAUGGGCGAAAGCCUGACGAAGCAACGCCGCGUGGAGGAUGAAGGCCUC